rnacentral:piRNA from 1 species
UCCAAAUUUCUCAUCUUAACA